CGGACGGGUGAGUAAUGUCUGGGAAACUGCCUGAUGGAGGGGGAUAACUACUGGAAACGGUAGCUAAUACCGCAUAACGUCGCAAGACCAAAGAGGGGACCUUCGGGCCUCUUGCCAUCAGAUGUGCCCAGAUGGGAUUAGCUAGUAGGUGGGGUAACGGCUCACCUAGGCGACGAUCCCUAGCUGGUCUGAGAGGAUGACCAGCCACACUGGAACUGAGACACUGUCCAG
rnacentral:rRNA from 1 species